rnacentral:rRNA from 1 species
UUAUGUGAUGUGAAGCACGCUUUAGGCACGCGCWUACWGCAGAAAUGUCUGAGACAUUCCUCUACGGGGGAAGUAUGUACGCAAGUAUGAAACUUGAAGGAAUUGACGGAAGGGCACCACAAGAACGCGUGGAGCAUGUGGCUUAAUUUGACUCAACGCGGGAAAUCUUACCGGGUCCGGACACACUGAGGAUUGACAGGCAAUAUUAAUAUAUGCUUUUUUUGCCCUUCACGGGGUGGGGAUAUAUAUAUUAUGUUAAAUAUGCUAGUCCUUUCAUGAUUAUGUGAUAGGUGGUGCAUGGCCGUUCUUAGUUCGUGGAGUGAUCCGUCUGCUUAAUUGCGUUUCACUAAAGGGCCUAUACAUUUAUGUAUUUUGCGGCAACUUUGACCCCUUACCUUCACGGGUAUGCGUCGUGUCUCUGUCCCUGCUUAGCUUUAUACUUAUUUAGGCUCUGAAAGCAACGAACGUGACCGCAACCUCUUGUUGCCUUUUAUCUCUAACUUCUCAUAUAUUGAAAUUGCACUCACGUGCUUUUUUUUUGUGAGCUUUAACAAAGGCUUUUUAAACUAGAGGGACCGCUGUGACAUUCUUUCAACCAGAGGAAGGUUGCGGCAAUAACAGGUCUGUGAUGCCCUUAGAUGUUCCGGGCUGCACACGUGCUACAAUGAUUAUUGCAGUGAGCAUCUCAUUUGAUUUUACAUCGCUUGCGCGAGUAUUUUUUCAUAUUUUUGGUAUAUUUUAUACUUCGGUAUAUUUUAUAUUAUAUUUUAUGCAUUGAAUAUCUCUGCGCGCGAUUCAGCCUGCUCCGUUAGGCAGCGGGUAAUCAAUUAGAAGUAGUGAUUUCCUUAUAUUUUUUGCACGACUAUAUACGGCGUCUUAUGCCCGGCUUAUACUUGCUAUAGGUUUUGUGCGCAUGGAUGUUCAUUUUCCGUAUGUGCAAUUGUCAAUUCAUGGUGGGGACAGACCAUUGUUAAUUGUUGGUCUCGGUCUUAACUAGGAAUGCCUUGUACGGGUCUUUGGUUCAACAAACCACCCGGAAUACGUCCCUGCCCUUUGUACACACCGCCCGUCGCUCUUACCGAGAGAUUUUACUGUGAGUUUGAGGGACUGGAUACCCUCAACCCCAUCUAUGGAAACUUAAACGAACAGUGGGAUCCCAAGGAAAGAGAAGUCGAACAAGGCA